rnacentral:rRNA from 1 species
UACAGAGGGUGCAAGCGUUGUUCGGAAUUAUUGGGCGUAAAGGGUGCGUAGGCGGGUCUUUAAGUCAGGGGUGAAAUCCUGGAGCUCAACUCCAGAACUGCCUUUGAUACUGAAGAUCUUGAGUCCGGGAGAGGUGAGUGGAACUGCGAGUGUAGAGGUGAAAUUCGUAGAUAUUCGCAAGAACACCAGUGGCGAAGGCGGCUCACUGGCCCGGUACUGACGCUGAGGCACGAAAGCGUGGGGAGCAAACAGG